AUUGAACGCUGGCGGCAGGCCUAACACAUGCAAGUCGAGCGGUAGCACAAGAGAGCUUGCUCUCUGGGUGACGAGCGGCGGACGGGUGAGUAAUGUCUGGGAAACUGCCUGAUGGAGGGGGAUAACUACUGGAAACGGUAGCUAAUACCGCAUAACGUCUUCGGACCAAAGUGGGGGACCUUCGGGCCUCACGCCAUCAGAUGUGCCCAGAUGGGAUUAGCUAGUAGGUGGGGUAAUGGCUCACCUAGGCGACGAUCCCUAGCUGGUCUGAGAGGAUGACCAGCCACACUGGAACUGAGACACGGUCCAGACUCCUACGGGAGGCAGCAGUGGGGAAUAUUGCACAAUGGGCGCAAGCCUGAUGCAGCCAUGCCGCGUGUGUGAAGAAGGCCUUCGGGUUGUAAAGCACUUUCAGCGAGGAGGAAGGGUGGUGUGUUAAUAGCACAUCACAUUGACGUUACUCGCAGAAGAAGCACCGGCUAACUCCGUGCCAGCAGCCGCGGUAAUACGGAGGGUGCAAGCGUUAAUCGGAAUUACUGGGCGUAAAGCGCACGCAGGCGGUUUGUUAAGUCAGAUGUGAAAUCCCCGCGCUUAACGUGGGAAC
rnacentral:rRNA from 1 species